GACGAACGCUGGCGGCGUGCUUAACACAUGCAAGUCGAACGGAAAGGCCCCUUUGGGGGUACUCGAGUGGCGAACGGGUGCGUAACACGUGAGUAACCUGCCCUUGACUUCGGGAUAACUUCAGGAAACUGGGGCUAAUACCGGCUAGGAAUCCUUGCUGCCCGGUGGGGGUUGGCAAGCUUCGGCGGUUUUGGAUGGACUCGCGGCUUAUCAGCUUGUUGGUGGGGUAGUGGCUUACCAAGGCUUUGACGGGUAGCCGGCCUGAGAGGGCGACCGGCCACGUUGGGACUGAGAGACGGCCCAGACUCCUACGGUAGGCAGCAGUGGGGAGUAGUGCACAAAGGGCAGAAGCCUGAGGCAGCAACGCCGCGUGCGGGAUGACGGCCGUCGGGUUGUAAACCGCGUUCAGCAGGGGCGAAGCUUGUGGUGACGGUACCGGCAGAAGAAGCACCGGCUAACUACGUG
rnacentral:rRNA from 1 species